AUUCCUACGGGAGGCAGCAGUGGGGAAUAUUGCACAAUGGGCGCAAGCCUGAUGCAGCCAUGCCGCGUGUGUGAAGAAGGCCUUCGGGUUGUAAAGCACUUUCAGUAAGGAGGAAAGGUUAGUGAGUUAAAUACCUGCUAGCUGUGACGUUACUUACAGAAGAAGCACCGGCUAACUCCGUGCCAGCAGCCGCGGUAAUACGGAGGGUGCGAGCGUUAAUCGGAAUUACUGGGCGUAAAGCGCGUGUAGGUGGCUUGUUAAGCCAGAUGUGAAAGCCCCGGGCUCAACCUGGGAACUGCAUUUGGAACUGGCAGGCUAGAGUUUUGUAGAGGGUGGUAGAAUUUCAGGUGUAGCGGUGAAAUGCGUAGAGAUCUGAAGGAACACCGGUGGCGAAGGCGACCACCUGGCCAAUAACUGACACUGAGACGCGAAGGCGUGGGUAGCAAACGGGAUUAGAUACCCUGGUAGGCUCUG
rnacentral:rRNA from 1 species